rnacentral:rRNA from 2 species
AGACCCGAAACCCGGUGAUCUAGCCAUGGGCAGGUUGAAGGUUGGGUAACACUAACUGGAGGACCGAACCGACUAAUGUUGAAAAAUUAGCGGAUGACCUGUGGCUGGGGGUGAAAGGCCAAUCAAACCGGGAGAUAGCUGGUUCUCCCCGAAAGCUAUUUAGGUAGCGCCUCGUGAAUUCAUCUCCGGGGGUAGAGCACUGUUUCGGCUAGGGGGCCAUCCCGGCUUACCAACCCGAUGCAAACUGCGAAUACCGGAGAAUGUUAUCACGGGAGACACACGGCGGGUGCUAACGUCCGUCGUGAAGAGGGAAACAACCCAGACCGCCAGCUAAGGUCCCAAAGUCAUGGUUAAGUGGGAAACGAUGUGGGAAGGCCCAGACAGCCAGGAUGUUGGCUUAGAAGCAGCCAUCAUUUAAAGAAAGCGUAAUAGCUCACUGGUCGAGUCGGCCUGCGCGGAAGAUGUAACGGGGCUAAACCAUGCACCGAAGCUGCGGCAGCGACACUCAGGUGUUGUUGGGUAGGGGAGCGUUCUGUAAGCCUGUGAAGGUGUGUCGUGAGGCAUGCUGGAGGUAUCAGAAGUGCGAAUGCUGACAUAAGUAACGAUAAAGCGGGUGAAAAGCCCGCUCGCCGGAAGACCAAGGGUUCCUGUCCAACGUUAAUCGGGGCAGGGUGAGUCGACCCCUAAGGCGAGGCCGAAAGGCGUAGUCGAUGGGAAACGGGUUAAUAUUCCCGUACUUGGUGUUACUGCGAAGGGGGGACGGAGAAGGCUAUGUUGGCCGGGCGACGGUUGUCCCGGUUUAAGCGUGUAGGUGUGUGUUCCAGGUAAAUCCGGUUCACUUUAACACUGAGGCGUGAUGACGAGGCACUACGGUGCUGAAGCAACAAAUGCCCUGCUUCCAGGAAAAGCCUCUAAGCAUCAGGUAACAUCAAAUCGUACCCCAAACCGACACAGGUGGUCAGGUAGAGAAUACCAAGGCGCUUGAGAGAACUCGGGUGAAGGAACUAGGCAAAAUGGUGCCGUAACUUCGGGAGAAGGCACGCUGACACGUAGGUGAAGUGAUUUACUCAUGGAGCUGAAGUCAGUCGAAGAUACCAGCUGGCUGCAACUGUUUAUUAAAAACACAGCACUGUGCAAACACGAAAGUGGACGUAUACGGUGUGACGCCUGCCCGGUGCCGGAAGGUUAAUUGAUGGGGUCAGCGCAAGCGAAGCUCCUGAUCGAAGCCCCGGUAAACGGCGGCCGUAACUAUAACGGUCCUAAGGUAGCGAAAUUCCUUGUCGGGUAAGUUCCGACCUGCACGAAUGGCGUAAUGAUGGCCAGGCUGUCUCCACCCGAGACUCAGUGAAAUUGAACUCGCUGUGAAGAUGCAGUGUACCCGCGGCAAGACGGAAAGACCCCGUGAACCUUUACUAUAGCUUGACACUGAACAUUGAGCCUUGAUGUGUAGGAUAGGUGGGAGGCUUUGAAGCGUGGACGCCAGUCUGCGUGGAGCCGACCUUGAAAUACCACCCUUUAAUGUUUGAUGUUCUAACGUGGACCCGUGAUCCGGGUUGCGGACAGUGUCUGGUGGGUAGUUUGACUGGGGCGGUCUCCUCCUAAAGAGUAACGGAGGAGCACGAAGGUUGGCUAAUCCUGGUCGGACAUCAGGAGGUUAGUGCAAUGGCAUAAGCCAGCUUGACUGCGAGCGUGACGGCGCGAGCAGGUGCGAAAGCAGGUCAUAGUGAUCCGGUGGUUCUGAAUGGAAGGGCCAUCGCUCAACGGAUAAAAGGUACUCCGGGGAUAACAGGCUGAUACCGCCCAAGAGUUCAUAUCGACGGCGGUGUUUGGCACCUCGAUGUCGGCUCAUCACAUCCUGGGGCUGAAGUAGGUCCCAAGGGUAUGGCUGUUCGCCAUUUAAAGUGGUACGCGAGCUGGGUUUAGAACGUCGUGAGACAGUUCGGUCCCUAUCUGCCGUGGGCGCUGGAGAACUGAGGGGGGCUGCUCCUAGUACGAGAGGACCGGAGUGGACGCAUCACUGGUGUUCGGGUUGUCAUGCCAAUGGCACUGCCCGGUAGCUAAAUGCGGAAGAGAUAAGUGCUGAAAGCAUCUAAGCACGAAACUUGCCCCGA